UACGUAGGGUGCAAGCGUUAAUCGGAAUUACUGGGCGUAAAGCGUGCGCAGGCGGUUCGCUAAGACAGAUGUGAAAUCCCCGGCUUAACCUGGGAAUGGCGUUUGAAACUACGGAGCUGGAGUGUGGCAGAGGGAGGUAGAAUUCCACGUGUAGCGGUGAAAUGCGUAGAUAUGUGGAGGAAUACCGAUGGCGAAGGCAGCCUCCUGGGCCAACACUGACGCUCAUGCACGAAAGCGUGGGGAGCAAACAGG
rnacentral:rRNA from 1 species